AGGAGUUAUAUCACUUUUGUUUCUAUUUAUGCAGCCCUAGCCACAGCUCCCCUGGCUGUGACUCCCACACCUGCAUGAAAAAAAAUGUUGCUGUAUUUUUACUUUAUUUUAUUUUUGGUGUGCAUCAACAUUACAAGACAACAUUUCGCAUAAAGGUGCAGCAAAAAUAUAUCAAACAUAUGUUGUAUGGAGGAAAGACCAUGCUAUACAUCAGCAUAAAUAUUGUACUAUUGGUACUAUACAUACUUGAGUAACUAUUUUACAGCAGAGUGUUAUACCCAAAAAGUUCCAUGGAUAGUAGGGAAGCUACCAUGACAUGUUAUGACAUAAUACACUGCAUCAACUUUUAGUAAUCCCUGACAUAAACUAUAAGAAGGAGAGAGAGAAAUCAUGUCUAGCAGCAGAUUUCCUGAGAGACUUAACAUAAAAGUAAUUAACUAGGCUUAGACAAACAUUUAAACAAAAAUAUACAAUCCUAACCGAGGAGAGCAUGUCAGCAAGAGUCUCUGAAGGGGAUCAAAGGAAAAUGGUUUCAUUACUAAAAUUUCAAUUUACAGAGUAUAACACACUCUAGCAGGCAACUAACACAGCAUGCAAUCAGAAAUUCUAAAUUAAAAAGGCUGUUCAAUAAAGGAAGUUUAAACAUUACGUCUCUUUACUGGAAGUGUUUAGGAAGGCUGUGUAGAUCACAUGAGAGGUGUGACUAGAGUGCAUAAACAAAUUCUUUUAACUCCUAAAUGGCAGAGAAUUUGUUAGCGAGACUGCAUCGGCAUUAUGUAUACAUCAAAACUACUUAAUUAAAGCUAAAGUUGUUUUGGUGCCUAUAGUGUCUCUUUAAUUUACAAUUGCCAGAGAAAUUAUUUGAGCAACCUUCUCAAUAAACAAUGUAAAUUCCCUGGCUUUCAACACAUUAAAUGAUUGGAUAAUUUAUUUGACUUUGUUUCUUUGACCCAGACAUAAGUGUGUAUACUCAUUUUUAAAAUUUUUAAAAUUUGUUUUAGUAGAUUUAACAUGGGUAGGUGUGGAUUAACGGAGAAGGUGAAAUUCUUACAUCUAGUAAAGUUUUAAGUAGGUAGUUCAGGAAAUGUCCAUUGCAUAUGAGCUUUAUUCUGAUUAUGUUG